GACGAACCGUCCAAACGUUAUUCGGAAUCACUGGGCUUACAGAGUUCGUAGGCGGUCCCAAAAGUUAGGUGUGAAAUCCCUCGGCUCAACCGAGGAACUGCGCUUAAAACUGUGGGACUCGAGGGAGAUAGAGGAAAGCGGAACUGAUGGUGGAGCGGUGAAAUGCGUUGAUAUCAUCAGGAACACCGGUGGCGAAGGCGGCUUUCUGGGUCUUACCUGGACGCUGAGGAACGAAAGCCAGGGGAGCGAACGGG
rnacentral:rRNA from 1 species